UAGAUAGAGGCGCGGGAUUCAUCAGUACCGCGGGGCAAGGCCAGGCAGCCGCUCCGGGGGAAAGGGGAUACCGCCGAAGGGAAGUUGCAGGCCUGCUGCACUUUGCCUGGGCCGUCAGAGAAUAUCUGCCGGACUGUCACAGUUUUGUGAAGCGCUAUCGA
rnacentral:ncRNA from 1 species